rnacentral:misc_RNA from 1 species
AGCAGCCGCGGUAAUUCCAGCUCCAAUAGCGUAUAUUAAAGUUGUUGCAGUUAAAAAGCUCGUAGUUGAAUUUCGGGAUCAAGGAAUCGGUCAUGCCUCGGUAUGUACUGGUUUUAUUGGUUCUCACCUUCUAAAGAACCAUGAUGUCAUUCAUUUGAUGUUAUGGGGAAUUAGGACUGUUACCUUGAAAAAUUAGAGUGUUUAAAGCAGGCUUACGCUUGAAUACAUUAGCAUGGAAUAAUGAAAUAGGACAUCAGAUUCUAUUUUGUUGGUUUCUAGGAUCGAUGUAAUGAUUAAUAGGGAUAGUUGGGGGCAUUAGUAUUCAAUUGUCAGAGGUGAAAUUCUUGGAUUUAUUGAAGACUAACUACUGCGAAAGCAUUUGCCAAGGAUGUUUUCAUUAAUCAAGAACGAAAGUUAGGGGAUCGAAGACGAUCAGAUACCGUCGUAGUCUUAACC